rnacentral:lncRNA from 9 species
AACUUAUUUUUAAGUAAUCUAGGUCUAACGAAUGACAGCUUAUUUGCUUAUUUCGUACAUCUUUUUGUACCCGCUGUUGUCAAUCUUUCCAUCUCCCAUGGCCAUAAUUAAAUUGAUUAUAACUGGUAGGAUUGUUAACAAAAGAGUAACUUACUCUGUCUUGCUGAGAGACUGGCCAUUUCCAAUUCCCAUCAUUAGAAGUUACGCAGCUCCAUUGCUUGCAAAAGAAAUCCUGAGGAUUUCCACAAUAUUUUUCAUUAUUUGGGGGUCCUGGGCAAACGUAAAACCCGUAAGCACGGAGUACAUCGGGGGGUGUGGCCUGGUCAUUGAGACCAGGGAUUACUGAUCGAAGGCAGACAUAUAACUCAGGCCAUCAGGUCCCCAAGGGAGCCUCCCCUUGAGUGCUGUUAAUAUUAAUACCUGUACCGGAGUCAGUAAGUAACCAGGUGAGAGAUAAGGGUUUAUGGGAGUUCGGGCUGUCCACAAGGCGUUUACCAUUAACUUGAGGAGUUAUUGACAGAGUAAGGAACCACGCGAUGGAGGCGAAGCUUAAGGGGAUUUUCAGUCUUUUCGGCUUUCCACCCUGAAUCGGGAGGUGGCGCCGGCUUAACGUGGGAUGCAUGGAUCCAGGUGGGGAUUCCUUCGACUUUCAUAGCCGUUGGUGUGGUCAAAAGUACGAGAUAAGGUCCCUUCCACCGAGUCUCGAGGUUUCCUGCACGGUGGCGUCUAACAUAGACUGAAUCUCCAACUUGGAAGCGAUGUGGAACUUGCAAGUCUCCUCCUGAGUAGGCCUCCCGGAGCUGUUUCCAUGCUCGCUGCCUAGAGAACAAAGGCUGGGAAAGCAGCACAUCAGCACUAUGUGCAAAGGCAAUUUCUGCCAACGGGGGGGGUCCCCCGUAGAGCAAUUUAUAGGGGGUCAGCCCAAACUGUCCAGGGGUGUUCCUCACCCUAAAAAGCACAAAGGGCAGGAGAGCUAUCCAAUCAUUAAUGCCAGUCUCUGUGGUCAAUUUGGUAAGGGUCUCUUUAAUGGUUCUAUUCAUCUUCUCUACCUGUCCUGAGCUUUGGGGUCUGUAUGCACAAUGCAGUUUCCAAUCAAUCCCCAAUAUCUUGGCCAGUCCCUGACUUACCUGGGCAACGAAAGCUGGACCAUUGUCUGACCCUAUUACCUUAGGUAUUUCAAAUCUUGGAAAAAUUUCCUCCAGUAUUUUCUUAGCCACCACGGUUGAAGUCUCUUUCUUAGUAGGAUAAGCCUCUACCCAUCCUGAAAAGGUGUCUACAAAAACCAAUAGAUAUUUGUUUCCGUAUUUAGCCGGCUUCACCUCAGUGAAGUCCAUUUCCCAGUGAGCGCCUGGGUGGCUUCCCCUUAGUCUCUUUCCUGGAGGUAUUCUGGAAGGAUUAGCAUUAACCAGCUGGCAGGGCACACAAUGUUUGACCACCGAGUCAGCCAUUCCUGGUAGCCUCAGAACAUGAUAAGGGGAUGUUCUGACCAACUGCUGCAGGUGUUUAGUUCCUAGGUGGGUUAGACGAUGUAUCUGUUGGACAUAUUUUAACCCUUCUUUGUGGGGCAGGAUUUCCUUCCCAUCUGAGGUAUAGCAGGUCCCCUCCGGAGUUUCAGAGAACUGGUCUAUCUUUUUUAUUUCUUGCCAGUCUUCUAGGGUGUACUGUCGUCCGGGUUCUGGGGCUUUGGGUGUUUCUAUCAUAGGCAGAAGGUUAACACCCUGGGCUGCCUGCUUGGCAACCCGGUCAGCCAUCUGGUUCCCUCUGGAUAUGGGAUCUUUGGCUUUCUGAUGUCCAGGACAGUGUAUAAUAGCUAGCCUUUUUGGCAAAUGUAAGGCUUCUAAUAGGCUUAGAAUUUCCUCUUUGUUCUUUAUUUCCCUCCCUGCUGAGGUAAGCAACCCCCUUUGUUUAUAGAUGGCCCCGUGUACGUGUGCAGUCGCAAAGGCAUACCUGUUGUCUGUAUAAAUGUUUAUGGAUUUCCCUUCGGCCAGCCGCAAAGCUUGCGUGAGGGCCAUGAGCUCAGCCUUUUGUGCUGAAGUUCCUUCCGGCAGGCUGCUGGCCCAGAUCGUGCGGGUCCCGUCCACCAUCGCCGCCCCAGCCAUCCUCUUACCUUCCACCACAUAGCUGCUUCCGUCAGUGAACCAGGUUAACACUUCUCCAGUCAGCGGUAUGUCUGUAAGGUCCUUGCGGACCCCAGUCUCCUCAAUCAAUAGUUGAUGGCAAUCAUGAGUCACUGGUUUAUCAGUCUCUUCAGGCAGAAGAGUGGCAGGGUUGAGAGCGGCUGGUGGAGCGAACGUGACCCUCUCUGUGAGAAGCAGGCUUUGAUAGUGGGUCAUGCGGGCGUUGGUCAUCCAUCGGUCUGGGGGCUGCCGAACGAUGUUUUCCAACGUAUGGGGGGCUAUUACAGUUAUAUUUUGUCCCAAAGUCAAUUUGUCAGCGUCCUUGACCAGUAUGGCCACAGCUGCGAUAGCCUUCAGGCAUAUGGGCCAACCACUGGCUACAGGAUCGAGCUUCUUUGACAGGUAGGCAACAGGUCUCCUCCAUGGUCCUAGAGUUUGGGUUAAAAUUCCCCGGGCUACUCCCUUACGCUCAUCCACAUAAAGGGUAAAGGGUUUAGUCACGUCAGGGAGGGCCAGAGCAGGUGCGCUCAGCAGGGCCUUUUUGAUAGCAUCAAAUGCCUUCUGGUGCUCAGGAGCCCAGGAGAAUUCCCCUUUUUUUUUGGUUAGUGGGUAGAGUGGGGCUGCUAAGGUCGCAAACCCCGGGAUCCACAGUCUGCAAAAUCCAGCUGUCCCCAAAAAUUCUCUCACUUGUUUGGCUGUGGUUGGGGCCGGUAUCUGGACUACAGUUCUCUUCCAAGUAGGUCAUCCACGUACUGGAGGAGGGUCACCUGGGGGUGUUGGAUCCUGAAGUUGGCCAGGUCUCUGUGUAGGGCUUCGUCAAAGAUGGUCGGGGAGUUUUUGAACCCUUGGGGCAGUCGAGUCCAAGUGAGCUGCCCGGUUCUUCCCGCACCUGGAUCUCUCCAUUCGAAGGCAAAAAGUGGUUGGCUAGUGGGAUGUAGUCUCAGGCAGAAGAAGGCAUCCUUUAAGUCCAAUACUGUAUACCAGCUCCGUUGGGGUGGGAGAGCACACAAGAGGUUAUAAGGGUUCGGGACUGUUGGGUGUAUAUCCUGCACCCGUUUAUUGACCUCUCUCAAGUCCUGUACUGGUCGAUAGUCAUUAGUCCCAGGCUUUCUAACCGGUAGCAGGGGAGUAUUCCAGGGAGAUUGGACAGGAACUAGGAUGCCCUGUUGGAUUAAUCUUUGAACAUGCGGCCGAAUUCCUUCUCGAGCUUCUUUACUCAAGGGGUACUGUCUGACUGACACUGGUGCAGCACUGGCCUUCAGUUGAAUAACCUGUGGGGGAACUUGCUUUGUCAAACCCAUCCCUGCGGUUUUUGCCCAGGCUUGGGGAAACUGUUCCAACCAGAAUUGUAUAUUUUGAUCAGGCUUUACUAGGGGAGAAUAUAGUCGAUAUUCGUCAUCUAAUUGGAGGGUCAACACAGUGAUAGGUUUGUUAUUUGCAGACACUUCUGGUUUCCCUUGUUCAAAAGAAAUUUGUGCUCCCAUCUUGGUCAGUAAGUCUCUACCUAAGAGGGGUGCUGGGCACUCAGGUAUGACCAGAAACGAGUGGGUUACCCGUCCCACUCCCAAGUCAACUGUUCUUCGGGUAGUCCAUGGAUACUGUUGUUGCCCUGUGGCACCCAUCACCCAGGAUUUUUUAUCUUUUAGUUUUCUUAAUGGCUGUAGUAGCACUGAAUGUUUCGCUCCGGUAUCAACCAGAAACUCAACUGGUUGCCCCUCCACCUUUAAAGUUACCCUGGGCUCGGGGAGGGGGUCCGAACCCCGUCUUUCCUAGUCUUUAUCUUCUUCCAGAGCUAAGACCUUCAGUCCUUUGUUUCUCUUCUUGGGGCAGUCCCUUGCCCAGUGUCCUUUUUCUUUACAAUAUGCACAUUGGUCCUUGUCGAGUGGGGUCCUAUUGCCCAGGUUCCCUGACUGUCUAGGGCCUGACCUAAUUUUCCUAAAAUCUCUCUCUCUUUCCCUAUUGCUUUUUCUUUCAACCACUGCAGCCAAGAUCUUAGUCAAAUUCUUCUCUUGUCGUUUAUUACGUCUUUCCUCCCUUUCCUCUCUUUCUUUCUCUUUUUUUUGUUCCCUUUCUUCUUCUGUCUCCCUUUUGUAAUACACUUUCUCUGCCUCCUUCACUAGAUCACGUAACUCAGCCUCCUGUAACCCUUCCAGUCUCUGAAGCUUCUUUCUGAUAUCCAGGGCUGACUGUCCUAUGAAGGCCAGGGCCACUGAGGCUUUCUGAGCCUCCGAGGUAGGAUCAAAAGGGGUGAACCGCCUGAAGGCUUCCAUGAGCCUCUCAAGAAAAACUGAGGGAGGUUCAUUCGGUCCCUGCAUCACCUCUCUUACCUUAGCCAAGUUAGUGGGCCGUCUUGAGGCGCCCCGGAGACCCGCCACCAGAGCCUGGCGAUAGAUUUUCAAGCUCUCCCUACCUUCAGCCGUGUUGUAGUCCCAACCGGGGCGAGUCAAGGGAAAUCCCAUGUCAAUCUCAUUUUGCAACUGCGUGGGUCGCCCGUCGGCCCCAGGAACAUUUUUUCUAGCCUCUAACAGAAUUCUCUCUCGCUCCUCGGUUGUGAAGAGUGUCUGCAGCAGCUGUUGACAAUCAUCCCAAGUAGGCUGGUGAGAGAACAUAAGGGACUCCACCAACCCCGUGAGGCGUUGGGGAUCCUCCGAGAAAGGGGGAUGGUUAGUUUUCCAAUUAUAGAGAUCUGCAGAAGAAAAGGGCCAAUACUGGAGGGGCUGCAAUUGGCCCCCCGGUAUGGGAGGCCGUACGUGCGCAGCGGUAAUGUCGCGAUCUCGUCUGUCCGCUCCGGGGUGGCGCCCCUCCGGCUCCGAGUCCCUGCAGCAGGUCCCUCCACCGCCGGAGCUCCAGGAGGGGCAGAGGGUCCCCUCGCAGCACCCUGUGCCGGAUAAGGGGGUGGGGGAACAGAUUGGGGUUCCGGCCAAGCCGGCGGCUCCUCAAUCUCGGGGUAGAUAUGAGGAGAGGGCUUGACUUUUUCAGCCGAGUGUUUGUUUUUCUCUCCAAGAGCCAGAAUUCGGGGACCUGGCUUUCUUGGCUUAUUCAGCCAAGGUUUAACCCAUGGCGGAGGAUCCUCUGCCAAAUCUUGCCACGUAAGGAUAUAGGGCUCCUGAUCGGGAUGAGAGCCGGGUCCAGUCUGAAAAAUAAUUGCUUUAACAGCCAGGAUAAUCUCAGAAUUAAAGGUCCCCUCUGAUGGCCAUCCAACAUCGAAUGUCGGCCAUUCAGAGACACAGAAAGUCUGCCAAGGUCCCUUCUUAACCUGAACUGACAAAUUAUGAGCCCUGGAUUUAACUUCAGUCCAAUGGUCGAGAGUCAAACUAAGAGGGGUCGUCACAGUCUGUCCCAUAUUAAAACUGUAGACAAGGACGCACAAGACAAAGACACACAAAACAGAAACCAACAGAUCCAGACACACGCGACCCGUCCGCGUCUUCCACAAGCAGGCAAAAGAGUCGGACGGCCGCGGAGGGGAAGCUUUCGCUUCAACAACAGAACUCGGUCCUCUGACCGACAGAAGGAGACCACCAGGCGUCCCUGGCUCUCCCCACCUCCCGGGGCGUCCCCCAGGGUGGCAGCCUGUGAUCCUCCUAGCACGUCUGCUGAUCACAGUCCCCCAGUCCUUACGGUCUGAGAGGACAGCUGCAAACCGAAAGCGCGCAUCACCGAAAACAGACACUCAGAACAGAGACGCCAGCCGACAUACACACUCACAUGUUCCAAAGGGGAUCCCUUUACCUCCAAGUCGGUUCUCGGGUGUGAGGGGUAGUCGCGGGUUUCCCGGCCAACGCACCAAACUGAAAGGCCAGUCGAGUUAAAAUCCCUCUCGUCCUGACUCGGAAGAGGCGACACC